UCUUUGCAAUGGAUGACUAGGCUCUCGCAACGAUGAAGAACGCAUCCAAAUGCGAUACUUGAUGUGAAUCGACCGUUUCGAGCAUUGAGUAUUUGAAUGCAAAUUGCGCCGCCAGCCGGCAUGCUUCCUUGAGAACCUUUUUUACU
rnacentral:rRNA from 1 species